rnacentral:lncRNA from 1 species
UUAAAUAAUAUUGCCGCCAAAAAGAAGGAGAAAUUUUCUGGUUUUUGAGUUUGCGACGUGUGGGUCCUACUUUUGUUCCAUUGCAGUCGUGGGCCCUUCUACGUUUUUCAAAUUUUUAGUUUUUUUUAGCUUUUUUUUUUUUUUUUUCUAAUUUCAGAAAAUGAUAUCAAAGGUGUGUGUUGUGUUGUAUUCGGUCGGAAUUGGAAGUUUUCUAUUCUAGCAAUUAUUUU